CCUACGGGCGGCAGCAGUGAGGAAUAUUGGUCAAUGGGCGCGAGCCUGAACCAGCCAAGUCGCGUGAAGGAUGACUGCCCUACGGGUUGUAAACUUCUUUUAUCAAGGAAUAAAGUGAGGCACGUGUGCCUUUUUGUAUGUUCUUUAUGAAUAAGGCUCGGCUAAAUCCGUGCCCGCCGCCGCCGUUAUACGGAGGGUCCGCGCGUUAGCCGGAUUUAUUGGGUUUAAAGGGAGCGUAGAUGGGUCGUUAAUUCAGUUGUGAAAGUUUGCGGCUCAACCGUAAUAUGGCAAUUGAUACUGGGAGUCUUGAGUACAGUUGAGGAAGGCGGAAUGCGUGGUGUAGCGGUGAAAUGCUUAGAUAUCACGAAGAACGCCGAUUGCGAAGGCAGCUUACUAAACUGCCACUGACAUUGAUGCUCGAAAGUGUGGGUAUCAAACAGGAUUAGAUACCCUUGUAGUC
rnacentral:rRNA from 1 species